rnacentral:lncRNA from 1 species
GAUAAAAACUGAGUGGUAUUGGUAUAGUAACAGGAAAGAAGAUCAAUGGAGUGGAAUUGAAGACCAAGAAAUGAAUUCACACACCUAUGGUCACUUGAUCUUUGUCAAAGAGCUAAAACCAUCCAGUGGGAAAAAGACAGCAUUUUCAACAGAUGGUGGUGGUUCAACUAGCAGUUAGCAUGUAGAAGAACAAAAAAUGAUUCUUUUUUUUUUCAGAAUUUAGGUAAACUUUUAAUUUAGGAAAUAGGAAAAAUAGCAAUAUAACAAGAAGACAGUGAUACAAAAAUAUAAUGAGGCAAAGCCAUUAGAAGAAACCCACUUUUUCUCCAGUAAUGCUCUCAUUUUCCUCUAGUCUCUCCUCUGCAGUCUUAGAAAUAUGUUUGAGUACAGUUCAGUAGAACUAAUAAUCCUUGAACUAUUCUUAUUUCCUUGUACAAAGCUCAUGUCCAAGUGGAUCAAGCACCUCCUUAUAAAACCAGAUACUCUGAAACUAAUAGAAGAGACAUCGGGGAAGAACCUUGAGCACAUGGGAAGAGAGGAAAAUUUCCUAAACAGAACAACAAGAACUUUUGCAAUAAGAUCAAGAAUUGACAAAUGGGACCUCAUACAAUUGCAAAGCUUCUGUAAGGUAAAGGGCAUUGUCAAUAUAGCCAAAUGGCAAUCAACAGAUUGGGAAAACAUCUUGAUCAAUCCUACAUCUGAUAGAAGGCUAGUAUUCAAUAUAUGCAAAGAACUCAAGAAGUUACCUUCUGGAGAAUC